GCUCAGAUUGAACGCUGGCGGCAGGCCUAACACAUGCAAGUCGAACGGUAACAGGAAGAAGCUUGCUUCUUUGCUGACGAGUGGCGGACGGGUGAGUAAUGUCUGGGAAACUGCCUGAUGGAGGGGGAUAACUACUGGAAACGGUAGCUAAUACCGCAUAACGUCGCAAGACCAAAGAGGGGGACCUUCGGGCCUCUUGCCAUCGGAUGUGCCCAGAUGGGAUUAGCUAGUAGGUGGGGUAAAGGCUCACCUAGGCGACGAUCCCUAGCUGGUCUGAGAGGAUGACCAGCCACACUGGAACUGAGACACGGUCCAGACUCCUACGGGAGGCAGCAGUGGGGAAUAUUGCACAAUGGGCGCAAGCCUGAUGCAGCCAUGCCGCGUGUAUGAAGAAGGCCUUCGGGUUGUAAAGUACUUUCAGCGGGGAGGAAGGGAGUAAAGUUAAUACCUUUGCUCAUUGACGUUACCCGCAGAAGAAGCACCGGCUAACUCCGUGCCAGCAGCCGCGGUAAUACGGAGGGUGCAAGCGUUAAUCGGAAUUACUGGGCGUAAAGCGCACGCAGGCGGUUUGUUAAGUCAGAUGUGAAAUCCCCGGGCUCAACCUGGGAACUGCAUCUGAUACUGGCAAGCUUGAGUCUCGUAGAGGGGGGUAGAAUUCCAGGUGUAGCGGUGAAAUGCGUACAGAUCUGGAGGAAUACCGGUGGCGAAGGCGGCCCCCUGGACGAAGACUGACGCUCAGGUGCGAAAGCGUGGGGGAGCAAACAGGAUUAGAUACCCUGGUAGUCCACGCCGUAAACGAUGUCGACUUGGAGGUUGUGCCCUUGAGGCGUGGCUUCCGGAGCUAACGCGUUAAGUCGACCGCCUGGGGAGUACGGCCGCAAGGUUAAAACUCAAAUGAAUUGACGGGGGCCCGCACAAGCGGUGGAGCAUGUGGUUUAAUUCGAUGCAACGCGAAGAACCUUACCUGGUCUUGACAUCCACAGAACUUUCCAGAGAUGGAUUGGUGCCUUCGGGAACUGUGAGACAGGUGCUGCAUGGCUGUCGUCAGCUCGUGUUGUGAAAUGUUGGGUUAAGUCCCGCAACGAGCGCAACCCUUAUCCUUUGUUGCCAGCGGUCCGGCCGGGAACUCAAAGGAGACUGCCAGUGAUAAACUGGAGGAAGGUGGGGAUGACGUCAAGUCAUCAUGGCCCUUACGACCAGGGCUACACACGUGCUACAAUGGCGCAUACAAAGAGAAGCGACCUCGCGAGAGCAAGCGGACCUCAUAAAGUGCGUCGUAGUCCGGAUUGGAGUCUGCAACUCGACUCCAUGAAGUCGGAAUCGCUAGUAAUCGUGGAUCAGAAUGCCACGGUGAAUACGUUCCCGGGCCUUGUACACACCGCCCGUCACACCAUGGGAGUGGGUUGCAAAAGAAGUAGGUAGCUUAACCUUCGGGAGGGCGCUUACCAC
rnacentral:rRNA from 1 species